rnacentral:tRNA from 1 species
UAGGUUAAAGCCCGCUGGAUAGGGUGUUUAGUUGUUAACUAAUUUUUUUAUGGGAUCGAAGCCCAUUAAUCUA